rnacentral:rRNA from 1 species
GACGAACGCUGGCGGCGUGCUUAACACAUGCAAGUCGAACGAAGUGGCGAACGGGUGAGUAACGCAUAAUCAACCUGCCCUUCGGAGGGGGACAACAGUUGGAAACGACUGCUAAUACCGCAUACUGAAGGAGUGGAUUGCGUGUGAUUGGCUAGUUGGAGGGGUAACUGCCCACCAAGGCGAUGAUCAGUAGCCUGUCUGGGAGGAUGAACGGCCCACUUGGGACUGAGAAACGGCCCAGACUUCUACGGGAGGCAGCAGUGGGGAAUUUUCCGAAAUGGGCGAAAGUCUGACGGAGAACCGCCGCGUGAGUGAUGACGGCCUUUGGGGUGUAAAGCUCUGUUAAGCGGGACGCGGUACCGGAAUAGAAAGCCACGGCUAACUACGUGCCAGCAGCCGCGGUAAUUC